rnacentral:misc_RNA from 1 species
UCUCCGUAGGUGAACCUGCGGAGGGAUCAUUACUGAGUGAGGGCCCUCGUGGUCCGACCUCCAACCCAUUGUUGUCCGACUCUGUUGCCUCGGGGGCGACCCGGCCUUCGGGCGUCGGGGCCCCCGGUGGACCACCCAACCCUGCAUCGUCGCGUCUGAGUCGAAAUAUAAAUCAAUCAAAACUUUCAACAACGGAUCUCUUGGUUCUGGCAUCGAUGAAGAACGCAGC